rnacentral:rRNA from 1 species
GACGAACGCUGGCGGCGUGCUUAACACAUGCAAGUCGAACGGGCCCGCUCUCUUUUUUGGGGGUGGGUUGAGUGGCGAACGGGUGAGUAUCACGUGAGUAACCUGCCCCCUGCUCCUGGAUAACUGCUUGAAAGGGCGGCUAAUACGGGGUGUGCCGGCUGUUCCGCAUGGUCCUGGUCGGGAUAGUUUCAUCUUCGGGGGUUUCGGUGGGGGAUGGGCUUGCGGCCUAUCAGCUUGUUGGUGGGGUGAUGGCCCACCAAGGCGGUGACGGGUAGCCGGCCUGAGAGGGUGGGCGGCCACACUGGGAAGGGGACACGGCCCAGAUUCGUGCGGGAGGCAGCAGUGGGGGGUAUGGAACAAUGGGCGGAAGACUGAGGCAGCGACGUCGCGUGAGGGAUGGAGGCCGUCGGGGUGUGAACCUCUUUCUCCGGUGGUGAAGGCCCUGUCCGUUGCGGCGGGGUUGACGGUAGCCGGGGAUGAAGCGCCGGCUAACUACGUG